rnacentral:rRNA from 1 species
GAUGAACGCUGGCGGCGUGCCUAAUACAUGCAAGUCGAGCGAACAGAUGAGGAGCUUGCUCCUCUGACGUUAGCGGCGGACGGGUGAGUAACACGUGGAUAACCUACCUAUAAGACUGGGAUAACUUCGGGAAACCGGAGCUAAUACCGGAUAAUAUAUUGAACCGCAUGGUUCAAUAGUGAAAGACGGUUUUGCUGUCACUUAUAGAUGGAUCCGCGCCGCAUUAGCUAGUUGGUAAGGUAACGGCUUACCAAGGCGACGAUGCGUAGCCGACCUGAGAGGGUGAUCGGCCACACUGGAACUGAGACACGGUCCAGACUCCUACGGGAGGCAGCAGUAGGGAAUCUUCCGCAAUGGGCGAAAGCCUGACGGAGCAACGCAGCGUGAGUGAUGAAGGUCUUCGGAUCGUAAAACUCUGUUAUUAGGAAGAACAAAUGUGUAAGUAACUAUGCACGUCUUGACGGUACCUAAUCAGAAAGCCACGGCUAACUACGUG